AGGGUUCGAUUCUGGCUCAGAACGUACGCUGGCGGCACCGCCUUAUACAUGCAAGUCGAACGAAGUAGUAAUACUUAGUGGCAGACGGGUGAGUAACAUGUGGGUAUCUUCCCCUUUGGUGAGGAAUAACACGAGGAAACUUGUGCUAAUACCUCAUAAGUCUUUACGGAGAAAGCUUUAUGCGCCAAUGGAUGAGCCCGCACUUGAUUAGUUUGUUGGUGGGGUAAUGGCCUACCAAGACUGUGAUCAAUAGCUGAUCUGAGAGGAUGAUCAGCCACAUUGGGACUGAGACACGGCCCAAACUCCUACGGGAGGCAGCAGUAGGGAAUAUUGCACAAUGGAGGAAACUCUGAUGCAGCGAUGCCGCGUGAGUGAAGAAGGCCCUUGGGUUGUAAAGCUCUUUCAAUAAGGAAGAAAAGCAUAAGAUUAAUAACCUUAUGUAUUGACGUAACUUAUACAAGAAGCACCGGCUAAUUCCGUGCCAGCAGCCGCGGUAAUAC
rnacentral:rRNA from 1 species